UACGGAGGGUGCGAGCGUUGUCCGGAAUCACUGGGCGUAAAGGGCGCGUAGGCGGCCUGAUAAGUAGGGGGUGAAAUCCUGCGGCUUAACCGCAGGGCUGCCUUCUAAACUGUCAGGCUAGAGCACGGUAGAGGCAGAUGGAAUUCCCGGUGUAGCGGUGGAAUGCGUAGAGAUCGGGAAGAACAUCAGUGGCGAAGGCGGUCUGCUGGGCCGUUGCUGACGCUGAGGCGCGACAGCGGUGGGGGAGCAAAC
rnacentral:rRNA from 1 species